GGGUUUGCGGACCAGCUGGGAUGAAGAGUUUCUGACCCGUAGGUCGCCGGUUCAAAUCCGGUCGGCCCCACCA
rnacentral:tRNA from 1 species